UGAAUGAUUGGACGAGANAUAGCUGUCUCUAGAUAAUUUAUUUUUGAAUUUUACUUUUGAGUUAAAAGGCUAAAAUUUCUUUUAAAGACGAGAAGACCCUAUAGAGUUUUAUAUAUUUAUUGAUUAUGAGUUUUUAGUUAUUUUAUUUUUUAAUUAAUUUAUAUAUUUAGUUGGGGUGACUUAAAGAUUAAUAAAACUCUUUAAAAAUUUUUAAUCAUUGAUUUAUGAUUUUUUAAUCUAGGUUUUCUAAAUUUAAAAUAAAUUACCUUAGGGAUAACAGCGUAAUUUCUUUUUAGAGUUCUUAUUGAAAGAGAAGUUUGCGACCUCNAUGUUGAUUUAAAUUGCCGCGGUA
rnacentral:rRNA from 1 species